rnacentral:lncRNA from 1 species
UCAUGCAUAAAUAAUAAAAUUUUAUUAAGAUCAAAAGCAAGAGAAAGCUACAAGAUAUUCAUUGCAUCAAAAAAAUAUUACCAUAGGAAUAAACAAAGAUAAUUACAACCAUUACUCAAAGAUGUCUUCUACUUCUUUCUAGAACUCCAGCCUUUAGUCGUGCAUGGAUGAAGACUUCCCUAUCAUUACUUCUGAAAGAGAGGCGGGG